rnacentral:tRNA from 4 species
CGGGGCGUAGCGCAGUCUGGUAGCGUACUUGCAUGGGGUGCAAGGGGUCGAGUGUUCGAAUCACUCCGUCCCGACCA